GAUAGCCACCUAGAGGUGGUGACGGCUGGCAGGCAGGAGCAUGCUCCAAGGGACAAGAAUCCUGGUCCCUUGUCUUGAAGGAGAACGCUGGUGCCAGAAGGGCAGGAGAAACUAGAUUAUGAAAUUAAAAUGGGCUGUGAGCUCUCUGGUCUGAAGAGAACAAAGUGAUGCCUCCAAGUACCUGCCCCACAGGCCACGUUCAUUCCUGGGUGCCAUGGUCUGGACACCAGAGGGGAGGUCAGAAGCCCAAAACAGGAGCUAUGAGGCAACCUGGCCAGGCCAAAGAAGGCUUCCCACUGACCCAAACUGUGGCUAAAAGAGGAGUGAGUAUAUUAGUUCCAAGACUGCUGUAACCAAUGACCCCAAACUAGGCAACUUACCACAGCAGAAGUGUAUUCCCUCAUAGUUCUGGAGACCAGAAGUACGAAAUGAAGGUGUCAACAACCCCGUGCUCUCCCCAGAGAUUCUUGGAGGCAAUCCACCCCUUGCCCUUUCCAGCUUCUGGUGGCAUGAAGACUUCAGCAUUCUUUGUGAUUACGUCACUCCAAACCCUGCCUCUGUCCUCACAGAGCCUCCUCCUCUCCUCUGUGUGCAAGUCUCCCUCCUCUUCUUAGAAGGACAUUGUCAUCAAAUUUAGUGUCCACCAGAGGCAAUCCUGGAUGAUCUUAUCUCAAGAUUCCUAACUAUAAAACCCUUUUCCCCAAAUAAGAUCACAUUUACAAGUUCUGGA